GCUGUAUGCCAAUCUUGAUUAUUCUCAAACAAUGACAUUUCACCUUUGAAAAAUGCUCAUGAGCUGAAAUUGCUUGAGUCCAUCGCCCCCACCACAAGCUCUCUAAUUGAAAGAUAUAGCACCUUUUUUAGGAUCUUCUCAUGAAUAUCAACAAUGUGUCCUUGUAUUAUGCUCGAUACAUCCUCUGGGUCAUAGUUUGUGAUGUAUUUUUCCACUAAUGCCACAUUAAUUCAUUGCAAGCUAUCUGACCUUAGAAAAAACUGAAACAUUUAUGCAUUUCAAAAAUUUCAUAUUCUUCUUGGUAUCCAAUAGGUCUCCAAUUUAAUAGGCUCUAUAUUGGUAACGAUGACUAUGGAUGGUGGUCCCAAAUUAUAUUUAGCUUUCAUAUUUUGGCCACUUUCUUCUCUGUCCAUAGCUUUCUUUGCACUCUCAAUUGCCAUUAUGCAUGUUAUUCCAAGUUCUAAUUGUCAAUGCUACUCUCCAAUACUCCCAAAACACAAGAAAUUGUAACACAAAAAACAACAACAAAAUGUGACACCACAAAAUCACCUUGAAUGGGUGCUCUAUUCCUAUUCUUUUACCUAGUGGUGAUAACGACAAAAUGUUACCUAUAUUGUUUGUUUUUUCUGCCGUCUCAUAUGACCUAUGACUAAUUACCUCUCUAAUUAUCUUUUCAACUCCCUGUAUAUCUUAGUCCACCUAUACCAAUAAGU
rnacentral:lncRNA from 1 species